AGCAAUGGAGGUGAGACAAUUCCAUGAGAUGGGAGCUGGAGGUUUCCAUCAAGGCACAUCUUUUUGCAUGAUCUGCAGUUGCCAAAUCCAAGAUAACAAUCUAGGCGAUUACCUUGACAACCCGCACUUGUGAUUGUAUUCCGUUAUCCAUUUUUCGAGGACUUGUGUGCAUAUGGAGACCUGAUAGAGAAACAGAUCGUAUGCAUGCUGUGUUUCUGUUCCAAGUGAUCUAACCUGUGUGAGAGGCAGAAAUCUCAUCACUGAAAUAGAAUGUACCUUGACAUUGAAGCGUC
rnacentral:sRNA from 1 species